rnacentral:rRNA from 1 species
GCAAGUCGAGCGGGGAAGAGUAGCUUGCUACUUGACCUAGCGGCGGACGGGUGAGUAAUGCUUAGGAAUCUGCCUAUUAGUGGGGGACAACAUCUCGAAAGGGAUGCUAAUACCGCAUACGUCCUACGGGAGAAAGCAGGGGACCUUCGGGCCUUGCGCUAAUAGAUGAGCCUAAGUCGGAUUAGCUAGUUGGUGGGGUAAAGGCCUACCAAGGCGACGAUCUGUAGCGGGUCUGAGAGGAUGAUCCGCCACACUGGGACUGAGACACGGCCCAGACUCCUACGGGAGGCAGCAGUGGGGAAUAUUGGACAAUGGGGGGAACCCUGAUCCAGCCAUGCCGCGUGUGUGAAGAAGGCCUUUUGGUUGUAAAGCACUUUAAGCGAGGAGGAGGCUACCGAGAUUAAUACUCUUGGAUAGUGGACGUUACUCGCAGAAUAAGCACCGGCUAACUCUGUGCCAGCAGCCGCGGUAAUACAGAGGGUGCAAGCGUUAAUCGGAUUUACUGGGCGUAAAGCGCGCGUAGGUGGCCAAUUAAGUCAAAUGUGAAAUCCCCGAGCUUAACUUGGGAAUUGCAUUCGAUACUGGUUGGCUAGAGUAUGGGAGAGGAUGGUAGAAUUCCAGGUGUAGCGGUGAAAUGCGUAGAGAUCUGGAGGAAUACCGAUGGCGAANGCAGCCAUCUGGCCUAAUACUGACACUGAGGUGCGAAAGCAUGGGGAGCAAACAGGAUUAGAUACCCUGGUAGUCCAUGCCGUAAACGAUGUCUACUAGCCGUUGGGGCCUUUGAGGCUUUAGUGGCGCAGCUAACGCGAUAAGUAGACCGCCUGGGGAGUACGGUCGCAAGACUAAAACUCAAAUGAAUUGACGGGGGCCCGCACAAGCGGUGGAGCAUGUGGUUUAAUUCGAUGCAACGCGAAGAACCUUACCUGGUCUUGAC